GUGUUCAGUGCUGGUCCAGUGUCCUCAGAGGCUUGGUCCCUGGGCAUACCCAGACUCUGCUUGUCUAUGUGCUGCUAGAGACUAGCCCACAACACUGCCUGGCUGUCCAUGCUCUGUCCUUGCAUGCACAUGUCUCGAAUUAUCAAGACAAAGCAGUGGUGUGACAUGCUUCCUUGCCUGGAGGGGGAAGGCUGUGACUUGUUAAUCAACCGGUCAGGCUGGACUUGCACACAGCCCGGAGGGCGGAUAAAGACCACCACGGUCUCCUGACAAUCGCAGCCCCUGCGGUGCCCCCUGGGAGUGGCUGUGGCUCCCUGGAAAUUCUACACCUCAGCCACAGUCCUGCAUCCUAUGUGGACACCGCUCAUUCUCCCCCAUCCACCCACUGUUUCCCAGAGGCCUAACAAAGACAGCCCAAUUCCUCGGAGCUCUGAGCUCAAGUCUGUCCAGCUGAACCCAGGAGGCUGGGACUCAGACACACAUGUCAAGGGUGGUACCUGGAAUCAGCAAUACCUGGUGUGUGGAGCCUGGCUGCAUCCAUCCUCACUAGCCGCUUGCUCCCUGGAGUUGGAGGACCGGAACAAGGAAAUUGUGGCCCGGCCAGCUGGGCCACAACGCAAGGUCCGGGGACUGUCAGGUGCAGAAGCCACCACCCCCUCUGUCCCAGACUGUCUGAAUCGCUUUUAUUUUCUUAUACUUUCAGUAUACUCAAUAGACCAAAGAGCAAAUCUAUUUUAACGUGGACACAUCCCUGCUGCCAAGAGUUCCCUGGGUUUGAUUGUGGGGCAGGGGAGGGCGCAGUGGCAGACAUGCUGGUGGCCCAGGCAGCAUGGAGAGGGCAUCUGAGGCCAAGACCCCCGCCCCACGAACACUGCAGCGUGCCCUAAGAGGAUGGCUUUGCCCAGAAGGACACCACCGUGGUGCACCUGCAGGACCCAGCAGGGGCAUGGCCGGCGACGGCCCCCAGCGGACAGCAAGGGCCCCGGACACAGACCCUUUGCCCCUGUGCUUAGACCAACUCUAUCGUACUAAAAUCACUUUCUGUUUUAACCAGUUAGACAUGCCUCUUCCACAGCUCCAUUUUUGAUAGUUGGAUAAUCCACCAUUUGCCAAGAGCAUGCUGGGUCUCCUGUGACUGCUAUCUCAUCUGAUACACCAUUUAGCUCCAGAAAGCAAAUUAAAGAAAACUGAAGUAACCCUGUUUGAAAGAGAUCAUUAAAUGUAUUUUGCAAAAGCCUAAAGUUAUAUAUUUAACAGUUUUUAUAUGUUGUAUAUUUGUAGAAAAUCCUAUUUAACAUUUGACGGCAGGUCUGACCAUCCUGAGAGUUGUGGCCAGGCCUCCCUGUGAUCCUGGAGACUCUGGGGUGGCCAUGGAGGACCUCAGAGCAGACAUGGACGGGCAGAGCUGUGGGUGAGGUGCAGAGGACCCUGCCCAUUCUAGGAAGCUCUGUCUCUCUUUGCUUUGGUUUGGUCUGAUAGUUCACAUCCCCCUGUGAGUCUGUGUGUUGGUAAACAUUGCGUAUACAAUAUUUUGGUCAUGGAUUUUGGUCCCUCUCUCUCUUAACCCCUUUUGCCAUCCAUAGAUCUUGAGUCCAUGUACGGCCAACUUGCCCUUCCCAGGUGAAUGACCCCCUUCGUCUUCAAAGGUCCUUGUUCUCCACAUUGGGAGGCAAAGACAGCAGGGAUGGAGGGGGUGGAGAAGCUGGGGAGCAGAGUCACUGUCCUUGCUUGCCCUACACUGUGGGGUCAGAGGCUAUCAGAUAAGGGACACAGUCCCCAUUCAUUUUCCUGAGUUCUGCUACCAGCAUACUACCUACAUGUCCAAUUAACAUGACUAUCAUGCUAGUAAUAUACUACUAAAGGCAAACAUUUAAAAAAAUGUAUUUAACUCCAGUAUAUAGAUGCCGUUCCAGCAACCAUAGGCUAAAGAUAGGAAAGAAAGUCCAUUUCUGUGAGACCCAUUCCGGUACCCAUGUGUCCUCCCUUCACUCAUGCAGAGAUUAGUAUCCUGGGCAGGGAGAUGAAGCUGACAUGAGGGGCUCUCAUCAAAGGAGGUGGUCAAACAAGGCCACUGUCUCCGAAGUGUCAGGCUCCAGUGGCCUGUGUUGCAGGGGGUCAACAGGGCAGGAGGUCUCAUUUCACCACUGAACCUCAACAUCCGCCCCACCUCCCCUUGGCUGUUUCUUUUGAAAGCUAGCAUAGAGACCUCCGAGGGCAGAGACCAGGAGACUUAAGAUGUUACAGCAUAUUUCCCCCUUGUUUUACAGUAUCCAAUUUUUGUGUUGAUUCAGCUAAAUUAUGAAAAUAAAGAAAAAAAGUCCUUUGAUAA
rnacentral:lncRNA from 1 species